rnacentral:misc_RNA from 1 species
AACUUUUGACAAUGGAUCUCUUGGCUCUCGCAUCGAUGAAGAACACAGCGAAAUUUGAUAAGUAAUGCGAAUUGCAGAAUUCCAGUGAGUCAUCGAAUCUUUGAACGCACAUUGCGCCCUUUGGUAUUCCGAAGGGCAUGCCUGUUCGAGCGUCAUUAUCACCCCUCAAGCCCCGCGCUUGGUGUUGGACGGCCGGUUGAGCGAUCGACCCCUCCUAAAGACAAUGACGGCGGCCUGUGGUUCCCCCGGUACACUGAGCUUUUCAUCGAGCACGUAUCGGACAAGGGCACCCGGGACCCGGUCCUCUCCUUUAACUAGGAAACUUCUAAGGUUGACCUCGGAUCAGGUAGGAAUACGCGCUGAACUUAAGCAUAUCAAUAAGCGGAGGCU